AACACUAUUCACACAUGCAUAUGUUCAGGAAUUCUGUCUUGCGUUCGCUCACACAUGGCAUAGCAAUGCUAGCUCGGGAGCCAGAUGAAUCUCGCAUGUUUUGUUUGCUAAGAGUAACAGCUUAAGUUAAGAGUAAGCUAUUGCUAUUGUUUUAAAUUACAGGAUGGAUCUGAGAGGGAUUGCCGUUGCGAUGGGUUUCCUCUAUCUACAAGCAGAAGAGGAGGCUGCCCAACUGAGGAGGAUCAUCGUUGAGCGGAGAGCUAGAAUGCGGCGGGGGAUGCUAAGGAGACGAGCCAUCCUCAGUUGUCUCUGUCUCACGACCAAAGCAGCUGAACAUCACUGUGCCCAUCCUAGCCGUGUUUUUCUCUGGAGGGGACCUGAAGCCAGCCUUCAGGCUCUCCAGGGAGAGCUUCAACCGGCUGCUUGCCUUGCUGCCCCGGCAAAAAGUCCAUGAAUGGAGCAGCCAUGAGGUGGAGGUGCUGGUGGCAGUGUACUGGCUGGCCUGUGGAGCAUCGUACAGGGUAACGGCAGAUGCCUUCGGGAUGCCCCUGUCCACAGUUUGCAGGACGGUCCAUGGCGUGGUGGAGGAGAUGAUGGCCAUCCUCCACAGGGUGAUUCAUUUCCCCCAAGGCAGAGGAGAUGGAGGCGGUGGGGGCUGGCUUUGCUCGCCUUGCAGGUCACGAGGCCUUCAGAUGUGCUGCUGGGGCCAUUGAUGGAUGCCACAUGAAAGCUUUGCCACCUGCAGAGCAGAAGAAGAGCUACUUUAACCGGAAGCUCUUCACUUCCAUCAUCCUGCAGGGCAUCUGCGAUGGAAACGGUCCAUUUAUUGACGUGUACAUCGGGACCCCGGGGUCAGUGCAUGAUGCCCUCGUGCUCCGGCGUUCUCCCUUUUAUAGGCAGGCUCUGUACCCACCAGCUGGGUACUUCUUGCUGGGUGAUGGAGGGUACCCAUGCCUGCAGCGUCCUGUGGCCAUCAUGACGCCAUACCGCCACCCUGUAGCCGGUCAGGUUGAAGCUAUAGAUACAACAGGCACCACGCUAGAGGGCGUAACAUUGUGGAGAGGUCUUUCGGGAUCCUCAAAACCCGCUGGCGGGCCAUCUUCCUGCGGUAUCUGGAGAUCCGGUCUCUGUUUGCCCCCAAGGUGGUAGGAGCCUGCUGCAUCCUGCACAACAUUUGCAUGGCAGCAGGGGAUAUCUUGGAGGAG